rnacentral:rRNA from 1 species
GACGAACGCUGGCGGCGUGCUUAACACAUGCAAGUCGAACGGAAAGGCCUCAGCUUGCUGGGGUACUCGAGUGGCGAACGGGUGAGUAACACGUGGGUGAUCUGCCUUGCACUCUGGGAUAAGCUUGGGAAACUGGGUCUAAUACCGGAUAUGAGCUGCCUUUAGUGUGGUGGUUGGAAAGUUUUUUCGGCGCAAGAUGAGCUCGCGGCCUAUCAGCUUGUUGGUGGGGUAAUGGCCUACCAAGGCGUCGACGGGUAGCCGGCCUGAGAGGGUGUACGGCCACAUUGGGACUGAGAUACGGCCCAGACUCCUACGGGAGGCAGCAGUGGGGAAUAUUGCACAAUGGGCGGAAGCCUGAUGCAGCGACGCCGCGUGGGGGAUGACGGCCUUCGGGUUGUAAACUCCUUUCGACAGGGACGAAGCUUUUUGUGACGGUACCUGUAUAAGAAGCACCGGCUAACUACGUG